GAUCCUUCGGGAUAGCGGCGGACGGGUUAGUAACGCGUGGGAACGUGCCCUUUACUACGGAAUAGCCAUUGGAAACGAUGAUUAAUACCGUAUACGCCCUUCGGGGGAAAGAUUUAUCGGUAAAGGAUCGGCCCGCGUUAGAUUAGGUAGUUGGUGCGGUAAUGGCGCACCAAGCCGACGAUCUAUAGCUGGUUUGAGAGGAUGAUCAGCAACACUGGGACUGAGACACGGCCCAGACUCCUACGGGAGGCAGCAGUGAGGAAUAUUGGACAAUGGGCGCAAGCCUGAUCCAGCCAUGCCGCGUGAUUGAUGAAGGCCUUAGGGUUGUAAAGAUCUUUCAAUAGUGAAGAUAAUGACGGUAACUAUAGAAGAAGCCCCGGCUAACUCCGUGCCAGCAGCCGCGGUAAUACGGAGGGGGCUAGCGUUGUUCGGAAUUACUGGGCGUAAAGCGCGCGUAGGCGGGUUAUUAAGUCAGAGGUGAAAGCCCGGAGCUCAACUCCGGAACUGCCUUUGAUACUGGUAACCUAGAGGUCGAGAGAGGUGAGUGGAAUUCCAAGUGUAGAGGUGAAAUUCGUAGAUAUUUGGAGGAACACCAGUGGCGAAGGCGGCUCACUGGCUCG
rnacentral:rRNA from 1 species